rnacentral:misc_RNA from 1 species
AACGCACAUUGCGCCCUCUGGUAUUCCGGGGGGCAUGCCUGUUCGAGCGUCAUUAUAACCACUCAAGCUCUCGCUUGGUAUUGGGGUUCGCGGUUUCGCGGCUCCUAAAAUCAGUGGCGGUGCCUGUCGGCUCUACGCGUAGUAAUACUCCUCGCGUCUGGGUCCGGUAGGUCUACUUGCCAGCAACCCCCAAUUUUUACAGGUUGACCUCGGAUCAGGUAGGGAUACCCGCUGAACUUAA